rnacentral:rRNA from 1 species
GAUGAACGCUAGCGGGAGGCUUAACACAUGCAAGUCGAGGGGCAGCAUAGGGUAGCAAUACUCUGAUGGCGACCGGCAAACGGGUGAGUAACGCGUAUGCAACCUACCCUGUACAGGGGGAUAACCCGGAGAAAUUCGGACUAAUAUCCCGUAAUAAUAUCCGGAGGCAUCUUUGGAUAUUUAAAGUUCCGACGGUACGGGAUGGGCAUGGCGUAACAUUAGCUGGUUGGUAAGGUAACGGCUUACCAAGGCUAUGAUGUUUAGGGGUCCUGAGAGGGUGGUCCCCCACACUGGUACUGAGACACGGACCAGACUCCUACGGGAGGCAGCAGUGAGGAAUAUUGGUCAAUGGGCGCAAGCCUGAACCAGCCAUCCCGCGUGCAGGAAGACGGCCCUAUGGGUUGUAAACUGCUUUUCCAGGGAGAGAAACUUACGCACGUGUUGCGUGACUGACGGUACCCUGGGAAUAAGCAUCGGCUAACUCCGUG